rnacentral:rRNA from 1 species
UACGUAGGGUGCGAGCGUUGUCCGGAAUUAUUGGGCGUAAAGAGCUCGUAGGCGGUUCGGCAAGUCGGAUGUGAAAUCUCCACGCUUAACGUGGAGGGGCCAUUCGAAACUGCUGUGACUCGAGUCCGGUAGGGGAGUGUGGAAUUCCCGGUGUAGCGGUGAAAUGCGCAGAUAUCGGGAGGAACACCAGAGCGAAGGCGGCACUCUGGGCCGG